CAACCAAACCAUGCUUUCCUUAAAUAAACCGAACCCAAAAAAAUUCUGAUUAAACUCAUCUUCUCUUCUCCUCUCACCACCGAACGUGUUUCAAAGAAACUAUGGUUACCUCUUCAUGUAAUCAAUGCUGUAAUAUAGUGUUGCAAGAGGAAGAGGCCACGAAGCCUUGCCACACCAGCUCACCUCUUCCCACCUUCUGUAGAUAUAUAUAGAUGAGUCAAGUCUCUCAAUUUUCUUGAAAAUCACACGAAGAGAAGAAAGGAAGCAAGAGUAGUGGCCAAGAAGGAGGAAGAGGAAGACCCAGCAGAAAUCAUCAUCAUCUGCGUACGUCACCACCAAGAAGAAAGAGAAGGGCCAUUAAGAGAGCUGUUACCCGAAGCCAAAGAAGGAACCCUACCUCUUUCCCUUCCUGGUUUUCUUAGUGUUCUUCUUGUUGGGGUUUUCUGAUUUAAUAUCGUAAAGGACGGACUUUGGUUUGUGAAAUUCUCGGAGAGAGAUGGAUUCGGCAGACAAGUCCGUUGAGUUUCGGGUUUCGGUACAUCGCCCACGUUUCAACCCCGGCAUGUCGUACGUAUUCACUCUAGCUGAAGACCAUUCCGAGAAUCGACCUAGCUGACUUUUUACUCUUUUUGGUGAUCUUAGUAUUACUUUUUCCUCGCUUUUAUAGUAUUUUUAGAGGGGUAGGAUAUCUUAGUAGAUCGGUUCCAGUUUAGGAAACCCGUGUGAGGGUUGGGACUGUUUUUCUUUAAUUUUAUCUUUGUAAAUAUAACUUGGUGUAGUACUCGUUAUUUUGAUACUUGGCAUGUAUCCUCAAACUUAACUUAUGUUUAUGUGAUUAUAAAUGACUACUGAGUUUGAUUAUAAAUGUUUAUUGAGUUUAA